rnacentral:rRNA from 1 species
AGUGAACGCUGGCGGUAGGCCUAACACAUGCAAGUCGAACGGCAGCACAGAGGAGCUUGCUCCUUGGGUGGCGAGUGGCGGACGGGUGAGGAAUACAUCGGAAUCUACUCUGUCGUGGGGGAUAACGUAGGGAAACUUACGCUAAUACCGCAUACGACCUACGGGUGAAAGCAGGGGAUCUUCGGACCUUGCGCGAGUGAAUGAGCCGAUGUCGGAUUAGCUAGUUGGCGGGGUAAAGGCCCACCAAGGCGACGAUCCGUAGCUGGUCUGAGAGGAUGAUCAGACACACUGGAACUGAGACACGGUCCAGACUCCUACGGGAGGCAGCAGUGGGGAAUAUUGGACAAUGGGCGCAAGCCUGAUCCAGCCAUACCGCGUGGGUGAAGAAGGCCUUCGGGUUGUAAAGCCCUUUUGUUGGGAAAGAAAUCCAUCUGGUUAAUACCCGGGUGGGAUGACGGUACCCAAAGAAUAAGCACCGGCUAACUUCGUGCCAGCCGCCGCAGUAA